UCCUACGGGAGGCAGCAGUGGGGAAUUUUGCGCAAUGGGCGAAAGCCUGACGCAGCAACGCAGCGUGAGUGAUGAAGGUUUUCGGAUCGUAAAGCUCUGUCAGAGGGGAAGAACCUCCUGUCGGUUAAUACCCGGCAGGACUGACGGUACCCUCAAAGGAAGCACCGGCUAACUCCGUGCCAGCAGCCGCGGUAAUACGGAGGGUGCAAGCGUUGUUCGGAAUUAUUGGGCGUAAAGCGCGUGUAGGCGGUCUGUUAAGUCUGAUGUGAAAGCCCCGGGCUCAACCCGGGAAGUGCAUUGGAAACUGGCAGACUUGAGUACGGGAGAGGGUAGUGGAAUUUCGAGUGUAGGGGUGAAAUCCGUAGAUAUUUGGAAGAACACCAGUAGCGAAGGCGGCUCUCUGGACCGAUACUGACGCUAAAGCGCGAAGGCUUGGGGAGCAAACAGGAUUAGAUACCCUGGUAGUCCAAGCGGUAAACGAUGGGUACUAGGUGUCGGGGGUAUCGACCCCCUCGGUGCCGGAGCUAACGCAUUAAGUACCCCGCCUGGGGAGUACGGUCGCAAGAUUGAAACUCAAAUGAAUU
rnacentral:rRNA from 1 species